UACGUGAUCCUUGAGGUCCCUUCCAACCCGGGUCAUUCUGUGAUUCUGUGAUAACCGCUCGGUUCUCCUCUCACCCUUCAUGCUCCUAACACACACUGGCACCGCCGCCCCAGCCCGGCCGCCCGUCACCGCGAUACCUCAGGAGAGAGCACCAACCCCGCAGCAUGAAGGACCGCACCGCCAUCUUGGGAGUGGGCGGCGCGCCGGAAGUGACGCCAUGUUGGGGGUGGGAGUGGGCCUGAACGGCGCGUGCGCGGAGGGCGGUCACGUGGGGAGGGCGCGAGGCGCGGCCGUUGGUAACGCGGCUCUCACAGAGCCCGCUGCCUCGCGCUCUGAUCUACUUCAUCUUUACUUUAACACAGAGGAAGGGGCUGCCAUCCUGUGUGCUGAGCAGAUGCAUGGGACGAGCUGUGCGGUGGAGGCAGGUGCUUCUGGCCAGCCCAGGAUUGCAGGAGCAGGGAAGGAGUUGUCAUUUGAGCACCAAGAAAUACGUGGUCCAUCCGGCGAGCAGCAGGGCUCCCACCAGCACCGUGUAGCUGAACAACACAAACGCCAGCAGCUCCCGCAGCACCUUGAGGAAGUGGAUGGCAAAGGAGUCCGGCAUCGUUCCCCACAGCACCGUGGUGCAGGAACCUGACCAGUGAGGAUCUGAGGACACUUAUCAGACUGAUGAACAAUCUAAAGAGGAAUAAAGACGAACAAACUAAAGGGGAAAUGGGCCCUCAGAACCAGCAACAACUUCCACUGAAAAGCGUCUCUGGGGCAGGCACACACAGCAAGCAAACAAACAAAAAUCCACCAACCAAAUGCAGCAACUACAUCAAAACCACAAAGCCCCAACACAGAAGACAUGCUGAAGUAACUGAGGACUCCUGAGAAUGUUAUAACUGAGUAUUUUUAAGGUAAUUAUUUUCUCCCCACCACUCCAUCUCUUCUCUCCUUUCUGCUUGCUCAGUGCCAUUCACCUCAGAAUUAACUGCUUUCAGCACUUCUGAGAUGCCCCAAAACUUGAAGUACAAACCCUGCAUCCCCCUCAUCCUUUUUAUCUUCCUGGUUGGCUGUGGAGAGAUGGCAGAUUUUUGUGUAGAACAAGACAGAAAUGGAUGUCAGAGAUAAGUAACGGACAGUUAAGUAAGUCUGCCCUCCCUCUUGCCUCAGAGCAGACUUCUCGUGUGCCUUUAACAAAAGAUGGUGCAGCUCAGCUGGCAGCUUUCUACAGUUUUCCACUGAAAUUAUAAUGCCUGGGCUGGUCUGAAGCUCCUGAAAUGCCACAGCAAAUAAUCUGAAGCCAGAAUAGCUCCCUGAGCUCAGUAUCUAUCUGACUAGGAAUCUUUAACUAAUUACACACAGCUAAUUAUUUAUGAAUCGAUAUAAAAAACCACCCCUCAGCAUCUUUAGGCACUUUAACCUUUAGAUGUCAGGAUAAAUCAUUCAUGAAAGAGUAUUCAUUAAUUUUGCAAAGUGUGCCACAUGCAGCCACAGAUUCACUAACCCAACUGACUAGCAGCACACUUACAAUUUAUAGUUACCAUAGUGACUGCUCAAAAUACUUAAAACAUAUGCUUGCUAUCUUUCUUACUGCAUUUUAAUGGUCAUGCACAGAUACUCUGACUGAAGCACUGCUACAUUCUGUGCUUUCCUCCCUAUUGUCCGGUUUUUCAGCAUCUGCUCUGUGAAAUGCUGCUCUGAGACAUCUUCUUUCUCAGCAUCAGCACUCGUUCUCUUAAACCUCGUUCUUAGUUAUGGGAGCUGCUUAUGGACAGAAAAGGUCAUGGUGAAAGUGAACUGAGAAUAUUUCAGUCUGCGAGGCGAUUGGCUCUUUGUGCUUCACAGACCUGGCAGUGAGAUGGGAUCCCUGCUGACAGAUCCACAGGCAGACGGGAUGCAGACACCAGGACUGCUCUGCGAGUUCAUCCAGAAACUACAUGAGGCCACAGCGAGAUGGCAUUCACCUCUGCCAGCCUCGUGGGCUGAAGGGCCCCUUCCUUCAGGGUCUUUCUGACUGGCUACUUCUGAUAGGCAGAAAGAUCUGACCGAUGUCGCUGACUCCUUUUCAAGUUACAACUCUUUCUGAAAAUAACAGGUUGCCUCAAAGAUUCUGAAAUAAUUUAAGAAAACAUGUGGGAGUGGGGAGCAAAGCUCCCAAUGGCUGCUUAGGAUGACAGCAUUCUGUUAUCACAUCACUACUCAGAUGCACCAUGAGUCAGUGGCUGAGCCCACACGUCUGGGAAUCAGGUUAAUCAUCUCCAAAGGCUCUUCAGGAUGAAGAAGCUCAUGCAUUACUCCCAGCAGCAGCCAAAAGGAUUUAGAAACUUGCUUGAUCUGUAGUUACUCAACCUCAGUAUCUCAAAGCAGGACAGCUUCCUUGGGGCAAAAGCCACUCUUGGCUUCAAGAGUGUCAGCCUGUGUUACAGGAUGGAAGACGUCUCUUCCACUGCCACUGAGAGCAGGCAUACCUGUUUCUGCAGAAGAGCUCUCUCAGAAAGCCAGUACACAAAGCCAUGCUCCACUUUUGCUUUUAAACUAGGUGUUACUUAGAUGCCUUCAUGGUGAUAUCACGAGAAGUGCUCCACAAGAAAUGAAACCACCACAUGUAAUGGAUGCAAAUCUAAUAUCUGUCUGGCAAGUGCAAGUGUUAUAAGCUGCAUAACUGUGUCCAUACUUUAAGAUUCCAAUGUGUCCAAGUGUAAUAUUAAAAAAACAGUGUUUUUUCCUAUAAACUAUAACAAAAAAACAACCUCACAUCAAUUCUAGUCCACUGGUACCCAGUACCGGACUGCAGCACUGUUUGUGUACAUGCACAGCAUCAUGUCUAAGUAAGCAAACACAUGCACAGAGCUUUUCAUAGACUCCAAACAAGUAGUUUUAAAUGCUAUCCUGGAAGGCAUUCUACAUAUUCUUUUUUUUCAUGGGAAAGGAGAGCAGGAAUAAGGAGAAGAAUUAAACAGACAGAUUUCCUUCGUACUGCCUCGAUGGAGAUUUCAUAGUUGUAUAAUAAAACUACUCCUGACAGAAAUAGGUGUCUGUUAAUACAUUUGCCUAAAUCAUAUUUAACUUAUGCUUAUUUCCAAGCCUCCUAAGUACCCGCUGUAGGUUACACAACCUUCUGUUCGCCUGCAGUACUAACCUCCCAGUGCAGGUGGUUUCCAAAUGUAUUUUAAAACAUUCUCAGAACAACUCAUCCUUCAAUCACAAACAUGCAGUGCAACGUCACCCCGACAGCAGUGGAACAGCAUGACCCACACUUUCACCACAGAUCAGGAA